GGAGGAGGCUUGCAAUGGUUCGUGAUCCGAAGCACACCACAUCAUCUGUAAAUCGUGGUGGCGGCGUUGUGAUGGCAUGUGCAUGCAUGACUUCCAAUGGCAAUGGGUUACUAGUGCUUAUUGAUGAUGUGACAGAAGACAGAAGCAGGCGAAUUAAUUCUGAAGUGUAUAGGGAUAUAUUGUCUGCUCAAAUUUAGCAAAGUUGAUUUGACGGCGCUUCACUUUACAGAUGCACAAUGAUGCAAAGCAUACUGCAAAAGCAACCCAGGAGUUUUUUU